ensembl:lncRNA
ACUACAUCUAACCUGGCACUGAAAAUUCUAUCAGACUUGGCCAAUGGAAGAUUCUCUUCUGGAAUCUUGACACUCAUAUCUCAGAUCUUGUGAUAGAAUAUGGACUGCGGCACUGCAACUGGAAUGUAAAGACUCUAUCAUUAACUCUCUUUGCCAUGGAUCAUUCAUUUGGUAUAUUAUACAGUACUUUUCCUUGCAGCUAUUUAGAAAAGAAAGAAGAAAAAAAGAAGAAAAAGGAAAAAGGAAAAAAAGGAAAAGAAGAAAGCAAGAUCACAGAGGAGUUUUGGGACAUCUGACAAAAUAUCCCUGCAGCACAUGCAGUAAACAGCUUGUGGCUCCAGGUAUUCAUGGAAAUGAGUGAGGAGUGGUGUUUCCGGAAGUCAGUAAUUACAUACUAGUAUUAAUGUACGGAACUAAGAGUCUGUGUCCACUUAUCAAG